rnacentral:rRNA from 1 species
AUACGGAGGGUGCAAGCGUUACUCGGAAUCACUGGGCGUAAAGCGCGCGCAGGCGGUCUUUUAAGUUGGAUGUGGAAGCCUACGGCUCAACCGUAGAACUGCAUCCAAAACUAUUAGACUAGAGUGUGGGAGAGGAAGAUGGAAUUAGUUGUGUAGGGGUAAAAUCCGUAGAGAUAACUAGGAAUACCAAAAGCGAAGGCAAUCUUCUGGAACACUACUGACGCUGAGGUACGAAAGCGUGGGGAGCAAACAGAAUUAGAUACCCCGGUAGUCC